GGCGGUGUAGCUCAGUGGCAGAGCAUGCGGCUCAUAUCCGCAGGGUCCAGGGUCCGAAUCCCCGCACCGCCA
rfam:Candidatus Magnetoovum chiemensis strain CS-04 SAG2740, whole genome shotgun sequence.